CAAAAGGUCCUUUUCAGGACCAACUACCUGUUUCACUCUAAAGAGU
rfam:Heterocephalus glaber contig179877, whole genome shotgun sequence.